CUGAAAAGGAAAUAUUUUCCAAAAAUGCUCCAGAUUUCUGUGCAGUAAUCUAGAGCCAUGCAGUGGCUCUGAUACCUUACCAAUGUCCUAUAGUGCAUCUGUGUACUUCAGUUCUGUAUAAAAAGGGCAAGAGGGAGAGCAUCAGAGAUUUCUUCACUAAAAAGAAGACUUUGAUAUCAGACUUUUAAUUCUUGCGAUUAGAUUUUGCAUUACACAGUCUGCACCCUCUUGUUCAAGAAUCUGAAAGCAGGCUUUUUCUGGUUUACAUUGAAACACGGGAGUCUUGAAUAUCUCUUCAGCUGCUUCCUAAUGUUUGUUCCACAGGAAGGGAGUUAGUUCGUAGCACAGUGUGCUUUAUUGUAUCUGCCCCAGCAAAGCAGAUAAGCUCAGCGUCUCUUCAUCUGAAAAAGGAACAGAGGAGUAGCACCAGGAGCCAGUGCAAUACUUCAGGAUAUUGUGAAGAUUUCAGGCAGCAAGACAACUUUCAGCCCAGAACAGGACCCAGAACUCCAGGUGUGGUCUCAGCAGCACUGAGUAGAGGGGCAGGAUCACCUCCCUUGACCUGCUGGCAAUUCUCUUCCUAAUGAAGCCCAGAAGGCCCUUUGGAUUAAAGCUGCUUUCCAGCUGGUUGACCCCACAGCUUUUACAGGUGGGGAUCAACAACUCGUGGGUCUGGAAGAGAUGAUCCUUGAAAAUCAGUCAGCUCUCCUGAACUCCUCCUCUCUUCUGCAAGACACUGUCAUACAGCAUUCUUCCAAGGAGGUCCCAUUGUUUGCUUUCCUGAUGUCCAGGGUUGUUAAAUUGGGGUCUUCUCUCAGGAUCCUGAGUUCCAUUUGCUCCUGACAUUCUCACUCAUGGGUCUGUGCUGGGGCCAGUUCUGUUCAAUACUUUUAUUGAUGACAUGGAUGAGGGCAUUGAGUCUUCCAUUAGCAAAUUUGCAGAUGGCACUAAAAUGGGAGUGUGUGUUGAUCUGUUGGAAGGUAGGAGGGUUCUGUAAGGAGACCUGGAAUGGUUGGAUGUAUGGGCAGACUCCAAUGGGAUGAAGUUUAACAAAUCCAAGUGCCAAGUCCUGCAUUUUGGCCACAAUAACCCUCUGCAAUGUUACAGGCUGAGGAUGGUGUGGUUGGACAGUGCCCAGGCAGAAAGGGACCUGGGCGUGCUGGUCAACAGCCGACUGAACACAAGCCAGCAGUGUGCCCUGGUGGCCAAGAAGGCCAAUGGCCCCUGGCCUGUACCAGGAAUAGUGUGGGCAGCAGGAGCAGGGAGGUCAUUCUUGCCCUGUAUUCAGCACUGUUGAGGCCAGACCUUGAGUGCUGUGUCCAGUUCUGUCCCCUCAGUUUUGCAAGGAUGUCGAGAUGCUUGAGUGCAUCCAGAGGAGGCAACAA